rnacentral:lncRNA from 1 species
AUGGCAGUUGCAAGUGUGACAAUUCUGUGGCUCUGGAGUUUAAGAGAACUUGAAACAUCAUCCAGGAUGAUCAUGAACUUUGGAAAUUAUUUGAUGAGGCUACUGCUGCCUAGAAGAAGUUCAUGUGACUUAACCAAGGCCAUACAAGUGGUGGGACUGAGAUUUGAAACCGAAGUCCUGGGUUAUAUAGAAGAAAGAGAACAAACAUGCUCCUUUCACAUGAUCACCAUCUUGGUUCAAGCCCUCAUCACUCCUUGACUGGACUGUUGCUGUGUUCUCCCAUUGGUCUUCUUUCCUGCAGAUUUUCACCACCAAGUUAACAUUACUAAAGCACUGUUCUCUCCAUGUUACUCCCCUGAUAAAAACUUCACUAGUUCCUGAUUGAAGUUUGUCCAAACAUCCUAGAAGAGAGUUUGGAAUUAUGCUAAGAAAGUGACUAAGAUAUGCAUUCCUUUGAUCUAGCAGUGCAACAGACUAGGCUAGAGGGUGAGGUGGGGUGGAGGGAGAGUGAGUGUGUAAGCUCUCCCUCCUUCUCCUCAUCUUUUCCCUCACCUCUCCUUCCCCUCCAUUCUCUUUAUCCUUCUCAUCCCAAACCUGAAGACAGUGUGGUUAUUCAUUGAUUGAGGAAUGGCUAAACAAAUUAUGGUAUAUAAAUGUAAUAGACCACUACUGUCCUAUAAGUUGACUAAAAUUGGAGGGUGGAGACAAGAUGACAGUGUAGCAAAAGUGCAGUGGAACUUUCACCCACAGCUCUUCUACACAAAUGUAUCAGAAUGAGGACUGAUUGGAAAUCCAAGGAAGUCAUUCUUCCGAUCCAGGACAGCAAAGGGAAACAGAAAUGUCUCUGGGACACUGGGAACCAGAUCUAGCCAGUAAUUCCUACAUGGAACAUUCCAGCCCAGGGAGAGCUCCGUACCAGGAUCCCAGAUCCAAUAUAGAGAGACCUGACAUGCCUGUUGUAGGAUCAUUGCCCAGUUCUGGUCACAGAUCAGGGAUUAAAUGAGGGAGGGGUCCUAUGCCAAGGGGUAAUCUUCUAGGUUGUACAUGAUCUUGGCUGUGAACUGAACUAUAAAGAAGUUCAGAAGCAAACCGCACCUAGAUGAAUGGGUCUCCAGGAGUGGAGAGGGAUCUUGGUUCUAGUUCCCAGGCCAGUCUGAAGCCUGCUUUAAAAUAACCAGGGCAGGAAUCCUGGACUGAAAGAGAAUAUACAAUUCUUUCAUUCUGAUCUAGCAGAGUUUUCCAGGUGUCUGAAAGUAGCAGUCUAUUGUCACUCCAACCAAAGUAUGUUGUUCAGAUCCAAAUCCAAGUCUGGAAUUUGCAGAGCUCAGAUCAGGGAAGGAACAAAGUUAGACUUUGUCCUAGGUCAGGUCACUUUGGGAGCAUUAGAAGCUUGAUAAUCUCUAGGCUACACCUCAGAUUGGUCCAAGUUCAAGGAGAAUUCCUGGAAGAGAUAAAGCAAGGGUUUUAAAAAAUUAUUGGGUUUAAAUUUUAAAAAUAUUAUUGUAAAUUAAAUGAGAGUGCUAGAAGAAAAAAAUUAGGAAAGAAAGGAAAACUUGAAGAAAGAAUUGGAAAUAAAAUUAGCAGCUUGGCACA